UUAGUGCAAGGGAAACACCAUCAGGACCUGUCAUUGUUUUAGGGUUUACUCUCUUUUAGAAGCUUACCUGCUGAUUUUGUUGUGGUUUUAUAUGUUUCUUUUGUUUUUUUGUAGUACUUUGUGUUGUUGAUCACCUUCCUAAUGGGUAUCCCUGGCCCACCUCUUGAUUCUGGCACUUUUCAUUUUUGUCCCUUGUGAGUUAAGUCUAUAUCCCAGGACUAUGUCUUAGGAGGGCUAGUGCCCAAGGGCCUGCACUGUCCAGGGACUGGCAUUUCCCACAGCUCUUCAUGUUUUUUGAAAUCUCUGCUUAUUCCAUAGCUACUAUUAGUUCACUGUCUGCUAUGCUAAAGUCUUCUAAAUGAAUUACAUCUUGUUAUGUCCUGAUGAGGGAGGUGUAAAAAUACCUUAGUGAAGAAAGUCCUCAUCAUAGCAGAAAAAAAUCCCCAAAUGAAACCACACAACAAGGAGUGUAGAGCUUGCUUUUUAAUACUUUCAGGAAGCAAACCAACAAAAAUUUCUGUACAAUAGAAUUUAGUAUUAUGUAACAGUUCUUGGGUUUCUUUUCCUUUUAGAAUUCCUCCAAAGUAAAUGAGCUUGAGUUUAACCCAGCAUCCCUUACUAAAGACUGUGACCAACUGAGUUGCUGGGAACCUGUGGAAUUUGCCCCUGAACAAAAAAGAGUAGCCAGUCAGGCUGAGGGUGCAGUGCAGCUGCUGCAGCAAAUGGAGCAAACAGGAAAGAAAGGAAGCACAAAGUCAGAGGGAAGAGGUCUUUCACAGUUCUGGAGAAGCAUCUUUUCACCACUACAACAUCUUUUUGGUGGAAAAAACUGACCUGGAAAUACUAAUUGUUGCGGAAAGGUAGAUUUGUAGUAUGAAUAUUGGGUUGCAAUGUUUCUUCUGUAAUUCAGCUUUUCACAUUGCAUGUCUCAGCUCUUAAAUGCUUUAAAUUAAAUUCUACUUUGCUAAUGUUUUCAAAGUAACAUUCUGAAGAUGUUGGGUUAGAACAACCUGUUGGGUUUUUCUUCACAUCAUAGAGGUUUUGGAAUAGAGCAAGAUUUUGACCCUUAAGUGUCGUAAAUUGUGAAUUUUACAUUAUGUGGUAUUCUAAUAAAACUAGAAUCAGCUUGGAA